rnacentral:sRNA from 1 species
CAAAAAUAAAUAGAUUAGGCAAAACCCAAAUAAAUCUCUAAACUCAUACAACGAACCAACAAAAUUUCAAAUCCAAAAUCUCAAAAUCUCAAACUUUUAUCAAAUUUGGAAAUUGUUUAAGCGUUCUUUAUAUUCUUAUCAAAUCGGUUUAAUUAUUUUGUUUGGGUUCCCAUGUACUAUCCUUUAGUGUAUAGAUUUUUUUAAUAUUGGGUGUUUGUGAUAAAAAAAAAUCAAAAAAGAAAUUGAGUUUUUCUGGUAAUAUUAAGAAGAGAAAGAAGCGAUGAAGAAAGAAAGAAAGAAAAAGGAAAGAAGAAGGAGAUUGAAUGCAAAAUGGUCAUUUCGUCUAGCAGAAAAUGUCUAUCUCUAUAAACUCAGCAAAAAAUGUCUAUCUCUAUAAACUCAGCAAAAAGCGAUUUAUUCAGAGUUUUUUUUUUUAACUUAAAUGAACCCAAAUCUAUAAAAAGCCCCUAAAAUAUUACAUAAAAUUCAGAAAAAACCAUGAAAAUUUAAGAAGUGACAUGAAUUAAAUAAAAAUAAGGAAACAAUAAUUAGGCAUUUGAUCAUGGUCACUGUGAUAUUAUUACAGAGUCAGUAGUGGUAGAGAAUAUCCAUACAGGAAAGAGAAGUUGACGACAUAGAUCCGGCGAGGGAGAGAAUAUGGCAAAACAGAGAUAGAGAAAAAGAAAAACAGAGAGAAGACGAGAAAAAAAAAUUAUUUCAGUAAUUUUAUUUGCCUCUCCGAUAAAGUAUUAUUACCUAUAGUCAUUUACUCAAUUCUUUUCGGUUUCAUGGUUAUUUUGUACAUAUUCCCUUCUUUUUACUUUUUAAUAUUUCACACCACUUACUUUUGUCUAGAGUAAAAAGUAAAACUUAUGUAUGAAUGGGUAUGAAUAGAAGGAAAAAAAUGAUCCGCUCUUUAUAACGUCCAAUACACAACAUACAUUCAAGACAUAAAAAAUGAGUUUAUGUUGCAAAAGUCAAAGAAACACUUGCGUAUCAAAUAUUAUAUGGAACCCAUUUGCAUUUAUUACUUACAGUAAUAUUUGUCUAUUUUUGUGCUAUAUAUUUGUUCUUCCAUUCAUUUGUAAACCCACUCAUAGAAAACCAAUGUAAAAGUUCUUUCUAUUAUUACUCUUUUUCAUGAUAUAUGAGUUACGAUACAAAAUUCUAUUAAAUUAAAACAUGUUAUCAUCACGAUCACUCUGCCACCUUGAUUUAUAUUAUUAUUGGAGCGCGACUCUGCCGCCCCUUUAUUAAUAUAAUGCUUUUAUAUGUUUGUUUAACGUACCAUCUUAUUUGUUGUUUUAACUUGUUAAUAUGGAUGAUUUUAAUCACCAUAAUUUACUUAGGGGGUGUAUUGGAAUAAAGAUUUGGGGGUGUUUGGUGGAAGUUACAUAUUUUGGAGAUUUGGUUAGAUUUGAUUAAAUAAUUGGUGAUUUGGUUAGAUAGGUUAGAGUUGUUAUUUAAAAAA